CUUCUAAGUCCUAUGUCUGGGGCCCUUGACACAAGAAAGAUAUGGAGUGUUUGGAGAGGGUCCAGAGGAGGGCCACAAAGAUGAUCCACGGGUUGGAGCACCUAUCCUAUGAAGGCAGACUGAAGGAACUGGGCUUGUUCAGUCUGGAACAGAGAAGGCUGCAGGGAGACCUCAUUGCAGCCUUCCACAGGGUGGAGAAGCAGCUGAAGGGCUGACGCUGGUCCUCCUGUGCCUGCUUAAGAUGGAAGGUGGCUCAUGGGAAUGGUAAUGCAACAACAACAAAACACAAAUACUUUUGUUAAGGUGACUGAUCUUCAUGGUUGAGAAAUAAAUGCUUGGGAAGCCAGCAUUCCCCCUUUGGGAGAGCCAUUAUUUACUGUCAUUUUGAUGACCUUCAUGUGAUGAUUAGAUCAGGAUUGGCAAGCUAUCACAGUAAAUUCAAGUGGAAGAUGGGAUCUGAAGUACUGUGCAAACUUGUGUUGCUACAGAAUCAGAAUCAUUAGAAAGCUAUUUGUUUGUUUGUUGGCUAGUUUGUUUAAUAUUUGGCUUACUAUAACUUAUCUGAUGUAAAUACAGGGGUGUUUUAUGUAUCUGUUUUUAGUAUGAUUUUUUUUUCAUAGUGAAUGUGUCUAAAUAGAAUGUACUUAGGGAAAAACACUUGGACAACACUGUAGUCAGAAAGAGAAGAUAUAUAUCUGGGCACCUUGCAGCUUUCUAUUCUGUUCUAGGCUGUGUACAGACAGUUUAUUCAAGGCUG
ensembl:lncRNA